GAUGAACGCUGGCGGCGUGCCUAAUACAUGCAAGUCGAGCGAACGGACGAGAAGCUUGCUUCUCUGAUGUUAGCGGCGGACGGGUGAGUAACACGUGGAUAACCUACCUAUAAGACUGGGAUAACUUCGGGAAACCGGAGCUAAUACCGGAUAAUAUUUUGAACCGCAUGGUUCAAAAGUGAAAGACGGUCUUGCUGUCACUUAUAGAUGGAUCCGCGCUGCAUUAGUUAGUUGGUAAGGUAACGGCUUACCAAGGCAACGAUGCAUAGCCGACCUGAGAGAGUGAUCGGCCACACUGGAACUGAGACACGGUCCAGACUCCUACGGGAGGCAGCAGUAGAGAAUCUUCCGCAAUGGGCGAAAGCCUGACGGAGCAACGCCGCGUGAGUGAUGAAGGUCUUCGGAUCGUAAAACUCUGUUAUUAGGGAAGAACAUAUGUGUAAGUAACUGUGCACAUCUUGACGGUACCUAAUCAGAAAGCCACGGCUAACUACGUG
rnacentral:rRNA from 1 species